UACAGAGGGGGCAAUCGUUGUUCGGAAUUACUGGGCGUAAAGGGCUCGUAGGCGGCCUGCUAAGUCGAACGUGAAAUCCCUGGGCUCAACCCAGGAACUGCGUCCGAUACUGGUUGGCUUGAAUCCGGGAGAGGGACGUGGAAUUCCAGGUGUAGCGGUGAAAUGCGUAGAUAUCUGGAGGAACACCAGUGGCAAAGACGACUUACUGGACACAUAUUGACGCUGAGGUGCGAAAGCGUGGGGAGCAAACAGG
rnacentral:rRNA from 1 species